rnacentral:rRNA from 1 species
GACGGGGGGGCAAGUGUUCUUCGGAAUGACUGGGCGUAAAGGGCACGUAGGCGGUGAAUCGGGUUGAAAGUGAAAGUCGCCAAAAGUGGCGGAAUGCUCUCGAAACCAAUUCACUUGAGUGAGACAGAGGAGAGUGGAAUUCCGAGUGUAGAGGUGAAAUUCGUAGAUAUUCGGAAGAACACCAGUGGCGAAGGCGACUUACUGGACACAUAUUGACGCUGAGGUGCGAAAGCGUGGGGAGCAAACAG